rfam:TPA: Bos taurus chromosome 1, whole genome shotgun sequence.
UCCCUGGUGGCUCAGACGGUAAAGCGUCUGUCUAAAAUGCAGGAGACCCAGGUUCAAUCCCUGGGUAGGGAA